rnacentral:lncRNA from 1 species
UAUGUGUGUGCAGCAUGUAUGUACAUGUGUGUGUGUGUGUGUGUGGUAUACGUAUGCAUGCAUGUGUGAUGAUGUGUGUGUAUAUGGUGUGUGUGGUAUGUGUGUACAUGUAUAAAUGGUGUGUGUGAUGUGUGUGGUGUGUGUAUGUGUGCUUUUUUAAUUAUCGAGUAAUUUUUGAUUAGUGUUUCAAUUGUUUGCAUGUUUACUGUUGACUUAACUUCUGAAUGUUCAAGCCAAAACACACCCUUCCUCUCUGUAGGGUAUAUGUCAGGUAUUUGUCACAGUGAUGGAAAUUUAUUCCCAACAACUUAAGCCAAGGACCAUAAUGGAAAACCAGAAUCUUCCUGAAAGAAUAGACUAUUCAUGAUGGGAAAGCUAAAUUUCCAAAGGCAGAGUUUGUUUGGGGGACAGAGUGGAGAAAAUUGUAAAUUAUUUCCUCACAAUUUAACAACCCCGUACUACUCAGUGGUAACAGUUGCAAGUACGUGUUUUAUGCAUAAUCUUUGUGUUAUGAAUAUCUAAUGCAUGUGCAUAAUAUAAUGUUUGGGUAGGUUGUAGUGGUUUUUCCUAGGAGAAGCAUAAUUGCAAUAACCUUUAAAUUUCCAUAAGAAUUCCAGAUUCUCCUAGUGUUAGCAUCUAAUGGUGGCAUUGCUGACAGGCACGCUGCUAAGCUGUAUGCAUACAUUUAUUUUAUCAGGCUUUAUAGCAGCUCAGACAGGUAGGUGUGACUCCUGUAACAAAUGGGCAAAGGAGCCCAGGAUUCCAGCUUCUGUAGAUUCAUAGCACCAACAGCAUCCUGCUCCUCUCACGCCUCCCUUUGACUGGCACAGAUAUGAAGUGUACUUCACAAUAACAUUCAAAGCUGUGUGUUAAACCGGAAGGGCUAGGAAGGUGUGAUGAAAACACGUGACCGUAUUCCUUCCUGCCCAACUCACAGACUUGUGCUUCCUUUUCCAAGUCUUACAGUUACGGCUUCAACAGAGAAGGACCCAGGAGCAGCUGGCUAACCAAGGCUUAAUACCGCGUGAGUACCCACAGCUCUUCCUCAUUUGGUCAGCAUUGUGAUAUCCAGAAGAUAGGAAAUGCCUACAGAUCAAUACGUUUAAGUCAGUGCAUCUCUCACCCAAGACCCCUCAGAAUCUGUAUUUGCCGAAAUAUAGACAGUGAAUGUUUUGUCCAACUGUCUUUAUCUACACAGAGGUUAUUCUUAAGAUUCCAAUAUGGUAGAUUUACUCUCAGGAUAAACUCAGUUUCUGUUGGGCUUCCCUGGCUCUUCUACUUUUGAAAUUGGUUCUUCUAGAAGUACCAAGUGCCCUCUCGCUUUCUCUCUCUCUCUCUCUCUCUCUCUCUCUCUCUCUCUCUCUCUCUCUCUCCCCUCCCCCCGCCCGUGUGUGUGUGUGUGUGUGUGUGUGUGUGUGUGUGUGUGUGUGUAUUCAUCUUUUUUAUUUGGGUUCAGCUAUUUAAGUCCACCAUUAUUUGAAUAUUGUCAACUAUUUCCUUUAUAGAAGAUUCAGUGUAAUACUGUUCUAGCAUAAGCAGUAUAUUGAAUUACUUCCCCCCAAAAAAGUGAGUCAAAAGGGGAUUAUCAUUGGUUUUAGGAGAUAAUUUGAAAUUUCUAAACACUAACAUUAAAUCUUGGUUAUCUAGGAAAGUAUAGGGAAGGGUACCCUGGCCCCAUUAAAUUCAAAUUCAAAUUCUUCUAGGUCCUAUUAACUCUCC